rnacentral:rRNA from 1 species
GCUUAACACAUGCAAGUCGAGCGAGAAUCGUUUUGCUGAAGGCUUCGGUCCGAUGCAGAAUGAGGAAAGCGGCGAACGGGUGAGUAACGCGUGGGCAACCUGGCCUUAAGAAAAGGAUAGCCCCCGGAAACGGGGAGUAAUACUUUAUGAGAAUGAAAGAGGGCAUCCUACUUUCAUUCAAAGCGCAAGCGCUUAAGGAUGGGCCCGCGUAUCAUUAGCUAGUUGGUGAGAUAACAGCCCACCAAGGCAACGAUGAUUAGCCGGGCUGAGAGGGCGAACGGCCACAUUGGAACGGAGAGACGGUCCAAACUCCUACGGGAAGCAGCAGUGGGGAAUAUUGCGCAAUGGAGAAGAACUCUGACGCAGCAAUACCGCGUGAGCGAAGAAGGUCUUCGGAUCGUAAAGCUCUGUUAUCAGGGAAGAAGAAAAUGACGGUACCUGAUGAGCAAGUCCCGGCUAACUACGUGCCAGCAGCCGCAGUAA